rfam:Triticum urartu cultivar G1812 contig6502, whole genome shotgun sequence.
GCUCAGUUGGCAAAGCACAAAGCUCUCAACUUUGUGGAUAUGGGUUCAAGCCCCAU